AAUAAUGGCUGUCAAGGGGACCAUUGUUGUUUUCUUUGUUAUUGCAUCAGCAGCUUUGCUUUUGUUUCUCCUCCACCAUCCGCUGACGCUCAUCCUCUGGCUUUCUGUCACUUUGAUCAAAUCUACCAACUCGGGGACUCCAUAUCAGACGCUGGGAAUUUGAUUCGGGAAUCUCCACUUGGAGCCUUUUUACCUUUCGCCCGAGCCCCUACGGUCAGACCUUACUAACCCACGAAGCCACCGGCCGUUGCUCCGACGGGCUUCUUAUGAUUGACUACAUUGCGCUGGCAUCAGGUCUACCUCUUGUGAAUCUAUCAAGGAUGCAAAGGCCAGUUUUAUGCACGGAGCAAACUUCGCGGUGGCCGGUGCUACAGCACUGUCAUCAGCUACUCUCGCUCGUCAUAAGGUUAGAAAUCCAGUGACCAUAGUUCCCUCGACGUCCAACUGGAAUGGAUGAAGAUCACUUUCACGAAUUUUGCGGCAGCCAGAGACACUGUGAAAUGAAGCUAAGAAACGCUCUCUUUAUGGUGGGUGAAAUCGGAGGCAACGAUUAUAAUUAUGCAUUCUUUAGCAACAAACGCAAAGUUGAAAUUCUAGACUUCGUACCUCAAGUUGUUGCCUCAAUCAAGAAAGCU